rnacentral:rRNA from 1 species
AUUGAACGCUGGCGGCAUGCCUUACACAUGCAAGUCGAACGGCAGCACGGGAGCUUGCUCCUGGUGGCGAGUGGCGAACGGGUGAGUAAUACAUCGGAACGUACCCAGUAGUGGGGGAUAACGCACCGAAAGGUGCGCUAAUACCGCAUACGACCUAAGGGUGAAAGCGGGGGACCGUAAGGCCUCGCGCUAUUGGAGCGGCCGAUGUCUGAUUAGCUAGUUGGUGAGGUAAAGGCUCACCAAGGCUUCGAUCAGUAGCUGGUCUGAGAGAACGAUCAGCCACACUGGGACUGAGACACGGCCCAGACUCCUACGGGAGGCAGCAGUGGGGAAUUUUGGACAAUGGGCGAAAGCCUGAUCCAGCAAUGCCGCGUGUGCGAAGAAGGCCUUCGGGUUGUAAAGCACUUUUGUCAGGGAAGAAAUCUUUUAGGCUAAUACCUUGGAAGGAUGACGGUACCUGAAGAAUAAGCACCGGCUAACUACGUGCCAGCCGCCGCCGUAA